CCUACGGGGGGCAGCAGUGGGGAAUAUUGGACAAUGGGGGGAACCCUGAUCCAGCCAUGCCGCGUGUGUGAAGAAGGCCCUCGGGUUGUAAAGCACUUUCAGUGAGGAAGAACGCCUGGUGGUUAAUACCCAUCAGGAAAGACAUCACUCACAGAAGAAGCACCGGCUAACUCCGUGCCAGCAGCCGCGGUAAUACGGAGGGUGCGAGCGUUAAUCGGAAUUACUGGGCGUAAAGCGCGCGUAGGUGGCUUGAUAAGCCGGUUGUGAAAGCCCCGGGCUCAACCUGGGAACGACAUCCGGAACUGUCAAGCUAGAGUGCAGGAGAGGAAGGUAGAAGUCCCGGUGUAGCGGUGAAAUGCGUAGAGAUCGGGAGGAAUACCAGUGGCGAAGGCGGCCUUCUGGACUGACACUGACACUGAGGUGCGAAAGCGUGGGUAGCAAACAGGAUUAGAUACCCUGGUAGUC
rnacentral:rRNA from 1 species